rnacentral:lncRNA from 8 species
GCCAAGUGUUGUGAAGGGUAGACUACACAAAUAGAAUAAUAUGUUUUGACAUUUAAAUAAAGAAGGGAUGGUGACUUUCUGAACUGUUAGAGUUAAACCAAUGGUUUAAAGUAAUAUAGAAACAUAUUGGUAUUUGAGUUGUGAUUGGAUUAUAUUGACCAAAAUGUCAGGUGUUGGAAUUUCCCUGUAACAUCCACCAGAAACAACAAUUUCACAGCUACAAUAGGCUAUUUCUUUAAAUAAAUGCCCCCAGACCCCCCAUUGACCCCAACCCCAAGUUCCACCCUUGGUUGGCCAGCAUAACCCUUUCAAUUCUAACCAAACAAUGUCCAUAAUUUGCCCUGUGGCUGUAGUUGAGAGAUCAAUUCGAGCACUCCAAGAUCUCAAAAUGUAUUCAUUGCAACACUGUGUCAUAAUGCACCCUUACUUUGCGCAAGGCGCACUGACCAUACUGCCAUGUGUGAUGUUAAGAAAAUUAUUUGUUUAUAGGAAAUACACUUUUCAUUUUUUGACCUCCAUGUACUGUGAGAAGAGAUAAUAUGUUUGGGCAAACUUAGAAAAACAUAUCAUAUAGAUCAGAUACAAGCAAUAUAGUGUAUUUUUUAAGAUAUUAGGCUAAUAUUCUACAUGAAAUGUGAAAGGUCAGCCCAUUACUGUGAAACCGGAUUUACCUGUUCUGCACUGGCCUACACAUUCACACAACACAAUGAGCACACCUUGGCCAAUGGCCAUACUAAAGGACUUCCUAUCAGUGGAACUCAGUCAGAUCAUCAAUUCACAGCUAACGGCAAGGUGUAACUGGAGCGGCUGUUGCGUUGAAUGGAGUUCAACCGACCCAAAGCUCCAGGGGGAGGGCCUGGAGAUGGAGAGGGAGGACAAGUUGUCCUGAGCACGCUGGAUGAACUCAAGCCUUGGAGGAGUGAACAGAAGCUUGAAGAGCAUGGAGGGCAAGGAGGGCUGUCUUCAACCGACACCACUAACGCAGCCAAGACAGACCCCAAAGCUCCUGCAGCAGGACCUGGAAAGGUUGACUUGCACUCAUUCCACAGCUCCCCAUCUUCAGACAGCGAGGAGGAGGACAAAUGCAAGAAGGAAAAGAAAAAGAAGCUGAAGAAGAGGAAGAAGAAGGAUUCCAGUUCAUCCUCUUCUUCCUCCUCCUCUGACAGCAGCUCUUCAGACAGUGAAGAUGAGAAGAAGAAGAAGAAGAAGAAGGCAAAGAAAGAAGGUGCUGGGGAUAUCAUAGUACAUGACGCAGCCUUCAUAUCUGAGCCUGGGCUUGAAGGCUUCACUGAUCUAAACAACGAGGAAACAAAGAAGAAAAAGGAUAAUUCAGGCUCAGACAGUGAAGAGGACAAGAAGAAGAAGAAGAAGAAGAAGAAGAAGAAGAAGAAGGAUUCCAGCUCUUCUUCUUCAUCUUCCAGCUCAUCAUCCUCUUCAUCAUCCUCCUCAGACAGUGAGGAGGAGAAGAAGAAAAAGAAGAAAAAGAAGAAGAAAAAGGAUUCCAGCUCCUCAUCUUCAUCCUCUGAUAGCUCUUCAUCCUCCUCAUCCUCAGACAGCGACAAGGACAAGAAGAAGAAGAAGAAGAAGAAGAAGAAGAAGAAGAAAAAGGAUUCUAGAUGUUCUUCUGACAGCGAGGCAGACAAAAAAAAGGGAGAAGAGGCAGACGGACAGGGCAAGGAUGAGUACAGCUGUGCUGCUGGCGUUUCAGCAGCUGGUAAGGAGGGUGCUGGGCUGGAGGGUACCCUGGGACAGAAAUCGGGCAAAGAAAAACAUGAGAAGAAGAAAGACAAGAAAGACAAGAAGACGAAGAAAGAAAAGAGAACGGACAAGGGCUCUGCGUCUGAGAGUGAUGGCGAUGACAAGUGCAAGAAUGACAAAGCAAAGGAGGGUGGUGCAUCAGCUGAAUGGAUUUGUGGCAGAGAUUUUCCUGAAGGAAUGGAAGCUGGAAAUCUGAGUGACGACGAGAGAGAAGGAGAAGGAGGCAAGAAGAAAGAGAAGAAGAAGAAGUUGAAGAAAAAGAAGAAGGACUCUGGCUGUUCAUCCUCUUCUUCAUCAUCUACAUCCUCAGAAAGCUCUUCCUCUUCAGACAGCGAGGAUGACAAAAAGAAGAAGAAAAAGAAGAUGAAGAAGAAGAAAGCUGAGGAUUCCAGUUCUUCAUCUUCCUCCUCCUCGUCUUCAUCCUCCUCUUCCUCCUCAUCCUCUUCUGAUAGCGAGGAGGAAAAUAAAAAGAGGAAGAAAAAGAAGGAUUCUAGUUCUUCAUCCUCUGACAGCUCCUCCUCCUCUGACAGCGAUGAUGACAAAAAGAAAAAGAAGAAGAAGAUGAAGAAGAUGAAGAAGAAGAAAAAGGAUUCCAGCUCUGAUGAUUCAGAUAGCGAGAAAGACAAGAAGAAGAAGAAGAAGAAGAAGAAGAAGACAAAGAAAAAGGAUUCCUGCUCAUCAGACAGCGAAGACGAUAAGAAGAAAAAGAAGAAGAAGAAGGAUAAGAAGGACGAUUCUGACAGCGAGGAAGACAAGAAAAAGAAGAAGGACAAGAAGAAGAAAAAGAAGGACAAGAAGAAAAAGAAGAAGAAGGAUAAGGACUCUGACAGCGAGGAAGACAAGAAAAAGAAAAAGAAGGGCAAGAAGAAAAGGAAGGAUACGAAGGACUCAUCUGACAGCGAGGAUGAUAAGAAAAAGAAGAAGAAAAAGAAGGAUUCUGGUUCUGACAGCAAGGAAGAGAAGAAGAAGAAAGACAAGAAGAAGGAUAAGAAGAAGAAAGACAAGAAGAAGGAUAAGAAGAAGAAAGACAAGAAGAAGGAUAAGAAAAAGAAAGACAAGAAGAAGAAAAAGGAUGACUCCUCAUCUGGAAGUGAUGAUGAUAAGAAAAAGAAGAAGAAGAAGGAGAAGAAGAAAGAAAAGGGUUCCUCUUCUGGAAGUGAUGAUGAUGAGGAGAAAAAGAAGAAAGACAAGAAGGACUCCUGUUCCGAUGUUGAGGGAGAAUCUAAGAAAAAAACAAAGAAAGAUGACAACAAGAAAGAGGAUGGACCUGAGAAUGAAAAGUGUGGAGAGCUGAAAAAGGAGGGGAAAUAUGUAGGUGGCUUGGUGAUGGGAGGAGGGUGCAUGGAUAGUAAACCAUCUGACGAGGGAUCAGCUAUUCGCCCGAAACCCACCCUGAAGUUGGAGCCUUGGGGGCCGUCGGCAGACGCCAGACCCAACACUCGCUAUGAGUCACUUUAUAGCCCCUCGCACUCUCUCAGUCCCAGGGAGAGCAGCCCCUCCCGCCCGCCACUCAGUCCCUUGGAGGCCCUGAUGCGGAACCCAACCUGGACCAGCGACCGUGACCCAAUGACUGGGAGAGGACCAGCCAGCAGCAGAACCACACUGCUCAAAUCCAGUGAUCUACUCAGGGGUCCUAAGCCUUAUCAGCCUUAAUUAACAUGGAGAUUGGAAAAGAUAGGCCAAGAUGAUUCAUGCUCAUUACAAUCAGGCUGAAACAUGAUCAAAAGGAAUUCUGUCAGAAAUAAAUAAAUAAAGGUACAUUUUUGUGAAUCUCUUUUCCAACUGAAGCUGGUCAACUUUUGCAAUUAAUACACUUUUGUCUCUUUGGAAACCUCACACGUGAGUGACAUGCAAUUUGUUUAUCUAAAGUAAAGUGAGAAGUUUGAAAAUAAUUGACGCGAAUGUGUCUGUGUGUCUGUGUGUACACAUUCAGGAAUUUCCAGCAGUGUUCAUGCAGGCUUAGCUGAUCAGGUGCACUAUACUAUGAAUGUAGUUUGAGGAGUUAGUGAGGUAACUUUGGUCAAAUCUGAGUUCAAUUUGGGAUAACCGGUACCAUGAAAGUGGCUCACCUUUAAGCCAAUUUGGUAAAUCUGCUUCAGGGCGCAGGCUAACUCAGGGCUAACUACAAUUAUCUUGAAUGAAGUGUCUGAGGUGUGAGUUGAGGACCAAUGAAAUCAGAUUCUCUCCCUCUCACAAAUAUUAUAUAAUAUCAUCAUCCACUUCAUUUGAGGAAGAAAACUGCUUAAAUAUUAAUCAAAUGUGGUUUUGUGUGUUAAAAAGUUACACAUUUAGUAAUGACAAAUGCAUUUGAUACUUCACGUACAGUAAAACUUUUGUAUGACAAUACAAUUAUUUUCUUUUUUAAGAGUGGGAAAAAAGGUGCUGUGCAUUAACAUGCACACCAAAAGCGACAUUAACGAUAAGUAAUAAAAUAAAGACACUUCAACAAGCCUAUUUCACAACAUAACCUGCUGAAUUUGCAAGAUCACUUUUCUUUCAUUUUGAUUUCGACGCAAAUGAAAAUGUGGCACAUGGAUUGAUGUUUCAGUAUUGUCUCAAUUAAGAGUUCGGUGUUCGACUAGCCACAUGUGACAUUAAAACAGUGUUGCCAACUCCUCAGAAAGGAAAGUAGCUAUUGGCUGUCCUAAAAGUCGCUGGAAGUCGCUAAAUGACUAUCACCUAAUUUGCAUAAUUUGCCAUGUGCAUGUAAUUGUGAUGGAGCUGUAGGGGAGAGGAAUAACAUCAUGGGAGAGACAAAAAGUGAGUAAAAAACACCCUAAAUAUGUUUAGAACUACAAAUUAGCAAGCUGCAGAGUGGCACACACAGCAAAUAAGAACCAGAUAUUUGAGGCCAUACUCCUCCUUCAGCACUUUAUGGACCCCAUUGUUAAUCCCCGUCAUAACAGAGGCAUUGUCAGUCCCUAUCCCCAGGAGUUUCUCUUUUUUAAGACAACACUUCUCGAGGAAAGCCACAACAGCACGGGCUAUAGAUUUGGCAUCUCCUCCCUCCAACUCAACAAGCCCCAGAAAUGUUGAUACAAUUGUCUGCUUGGUGUCACUAAAGUACCUUAUCACAACCCCCAGGUACUUAGAAACACUUACAUCCGUGGACUCAUCGAGGAGGAGGCUGAAACGCUGGUCACCCACAUCUGCGACCAACUUUUUCAGAAAGUAUGGUGCUAGAUCACUAUUAAUCAUUUCUGCGCACUUUGUCCUGUGCAUUUUGAAGUGGGUAGCAGCAGUGGAGUCUGAGAAAGCAGCUCUACAUGCUUCUCCAAUGUGAUCACAUGCCAGCAUGGAACAGUGUUCAGCGAUAGCUAAUGCCAUGGUGGCCUCAGCCUUUUUUGCAUAGUCAAUUUUUUUAACCAUAAAUGGCAGCUUGUUCGAUGCAUGUGACAAAAUGUGAUUUGAUUGGAGACUGCUUGUGUCAAUUAAAUAACAUUUCCUAUGAUUUUCUACCUGCAGCAAAAGUAGUGGAUAAUGCCGAAAAUACCAGUUAAAGAAAAAAACAACUGAUGUUCAUUUUAUUUUAUAAUAAGAGCUACACCAACAUAAAUGUUUAAUUCAUAGGCCGACCUGUCCGGUAAAUUGGCACAGCAAUGUGGCUUUUAGUAUUAGCUGACCAAUCUGGACAUCUGUAGUGCGGGGAAAAAAGGUAGUUGUAUAAUUAAGAACAGUACCUUGCAGAAUUCAAUAGUUGGAAUUGUAAUAGUUGUUGUCCUGUCCCUUUCUCUGUGAUUGUCAUUCUAAUAGGAUCCAGAAAGAACAAAACCCUGUCCUCAAACAUUUACAUUAAAAGUUGCAAAGUUAAAGGCAAAGACACAAAACAUCCACAUCAAAUGAAAUACUUUUCUUGAUCAAAUAACAUGGAUAACAACUUUUAGUGCAGUAUUAAUUGACUAUCCUUACAAACCACUUCAUUUCAAUCAAUCAAUCAAAUGUAUUUAUAAAGCCCUUUUUACAUCAGUCAAUGUCACAAAGUGCUAUACAGAAACCCAGCCUAAAACCACAAACAGCAAGCAAUGCAAAUGUAGAAGCACGGUGGCUAGGAAAAACUCCCUAGAAAGGCAAGAACCUAGGAAGAAAUCUAGAGAGGAACCAGGCUAUGAGGGGUGGCCAGUCCUCUUCUGGCUGUGCCGGGUGGAGAUUAUAACAGUACAUGGCCAAGAUGUUCAAACGUUCAUAGAUGACCAGCAGGGUCAAAUAAUAAUAAUCACAGUGGUUGUAGAGGGUGCAACAGGUCAGCACCUCAGGAGUAAAUGUCAGUUGGCUUUUCAUAGCCGAUCAUUCAGAGUUAGAGACAUCAGGUGCGGUAGAGAGAGAGAGAGAGAGAGAGAGAGAGAGAGAGAGAGAGAGAGAGACGAAAACAGCAGGUCAGGGACAAGGUAGCAUGUCUGGUGAACAGGUCAGGGUUCCAUAGCCACAGGGAGAACAGUUGAAACUGGAGCAGCAGCAUGACCAGGUGGACUGGGGGACAGCAAGGAGUCAUCAGGCCAGGUAGUCCUGAGGCAUGGUCCUAGGGCUCAGGUCCUCAGAGAGAGAGAGAAAAUUAGAGGGAGCAUACUUAAAUUCACAUAGGACACUGGAUAAAUGUGCAUUACUGUAUUGUACAUAGGCUGGUCAUGUAGGUUUGGUCCCUGUAGACUUUCCAUCACUAUGAAGAAAAACAAUUACCAAUACAGUAAUUGAGUACAUUGAGACAUCAAGUGGUUUGUGAUGUGGCUCAGUUGGUACAGCAUGGCGCAUGUAACACUAGGGUUGUGGGUUUGAUUCCCAUGGGGGACCAGUACACUACUGUAAGUUGCUCUGGAUAAGAACAUCUACUAAAAUGUAAAAUGAGUAAAUAAACCAUUUCAGUUUACACACAGAAAUAAGUUGUGUUGGCUAAGUAUUUCAAGAAACUGGAUAACAUAUCAAGCAAGUAUUUUUAUAUUCCACAAGUAUUAUCAGAUUAACUGUUUUGUACAGAUAAUUAUCAGACUACAAAUGCUGGUAAACACUCUAAUACAAAUACAUUUAGUUUAAAUGUUUUCACAAAAGUAGUGCAUCGGAUUUUUACUGGUCCUGUUUUUUUUUCUUCUUCUGCAUGUUGCGGCCGAACGCUCCCCUACCUCGGCCCAGUGACGUCACAUCAUUGGCCGAAAGCCGGAAGGGAAGUGUGCCCUUCUCAUAUCAAACAGUGAUCUGCGCCACUCGAAUCUGGUCCAUCGUCCACAAACAUACAACAUCUCUUUUCCAUAAAAUAAAUGUUUGAAUUUUUCAAACCAGUUUUCCUUGGGAAGGCAAAUAAACACAGAAUCCUACUCAUUACUACACGUGCUUAACUACGUCACUUUUGUGCGGUCUUUGCGGUCGGCUUGAGCCGGGCGCUGGUUCACCACUUUUCACCCGAUGUAAGCCGGGCCAGAUAAGCGACCCCUCCCUCCGUGAUGGCAGUCUCAGACUAAGUAGCCUAUGUAGCAAACGACACAGCAGUGGAAUAAUUUAACUUGAAUCGUCAGGAUAAAGGACUAAGACUCCACAAG